UCAACUGUUUAAUUAAAACAAAGCAUUGCGAUGGUCCCUGCGGAUGCUCACGCAAUGUGAUUUCUGCUCAGUGCUCUAAAUGUCAAAGUGAAGAAAUUCAACCAAGCGCGGGUAAACGGUGGGAGUAACUAUGACUCUCUUAAGGUAGCCAAAUGCCUCAUCAUCUAAUUAGUGACGCACAUGAAUGGAUUAGUGAG
rfam:Gossypium raimondii Chr08_contig_439, whole genome shotgun sequence.